UUUUUUAACUGUCUCCGAUUUAUAUUCUUCCAAAGUAUCGAUUCCCCAUUUUUCUGAAAUUUGUUACUUUCGUUUCCACCGAUUUAAUUUUUAAUCCGCUACUUCGAUGACUAAAAACGGUAUAUUUAUCGAAUAUGUAUAAGUAAAGAAUUAAUUUUAUUCGAAUUCGAAGAUCUUUGAAAAAUAAUCACAGGGAAUGAGAAGCGUCACCCAAAGAAAUUCGAAACAUUUUAUAAAUGUUAUGUACUAAACUCUAUUCUACUUCUAUGGUUGAAGAUUGUUUAAAUAUUAAAAAUUUAAAUAUUUUAUGUUAUUGUAUGAUCGAUACAUUGUACAAAAUGUCAUUUCUUAACAACUUCUUAUCGUAGAAAAAAUAUGAUGCAGUUGUCAUGAGCACGUGUAAAUAGGUGAUUACGGGAGGGGAUAAGACAUUUUUUAAAGUCAAUGAAUUAACUUAUUGUUACUCCGAUCGUUAUUAUCGAUGAAAUUUACUCCGCUUUUCUUUUUGUAAUAAAUUAAUCUCUCUAUUUAUAUUGUUUAUAAGAUAUAUAUUUAUUUUAUGUUAUGGCCACUGUAGCAACUACUCUAACCUAAAACAACAAGCUUUUCAUAUUUUAAUGAUAAGUGUUGCACCAAUUAUAUGUGAGUCAAUUUUAUUAUACAAUGGAUAAUAUAUUUGGUAAGGAAGAUUCUGGAAAUGAAAGCGAACAUAUGGAUAUCGAAGAGAAGGAAGAAAAAGGUAGUCCCUCUCGACAUUCUGGAAUUAAAGAUGUAGAAUCACUGGAUGUGGAUAGUAUGCAGGUAGAAUCAGACGCGAUGAGUUCUCAAUCCCAGUCCGAUGUGGAAGAAGCAGGAUCUAAUUCAAUGUGUACGGUAGUGGAGGAUCAAUUGGAGAUUGUUAAACAUGAAAUUGAUUCUAGAGAAGAAGAGCAAAUAACUGAAGAUAUGUUUGAAAAUGAUAUAGUAUUACCUCAUGCAAAUCCAACAACCGUUAAGGAAAGAAGAGAAAGCAGAGAGAAAAGCAAAAAGGAGUUGGAAGAAGAAGAGAGAGAAAAAAUGCAAGUAUUAGUUUCAAAUUUUACGGAAGAUCAAUUGGACAGAUACGAAAUGUAUAGAAGAGCUGCUUUUCCAAAAGCAGCGAUAAAAAGGAUCAUGCAAACUAUAACGGGUUGCUCUGUGUCGCAAAACGUAGUAAUUGCUAUGUCCGGUAUUGCGAAGGUAUUUGUAGGAGAAAUCGUAGAAGAAGCUCUCGAUGUCAUGGAAGCACAUCAAGAAACAGGGCCAUUACAGCCUAAACAUUUGAGAGAAGCGGUCCGAAGAUUGAGACUUCAAGGGCAGAUUCCGAAUGGUCGUGCUCAUAAGGCGUUUUUCAGGCUAAGAUGCGGGCGAUGUAAUAAAACUUGAAAAGUUUCACGUUACUGAAUUGACAGACAAUGCCUUAAAACUCACUUCAAAUAUUGUGACAAUUAUUUUAAUACAUGAAUGCAUACGCGAUAAACAAGAUGAGAGCUUCAUUUCCGCUCGAUUAAAUUCUACACAUAAAUAUGCAGCUUCUAGCAAGAUUUUGAAAUAUCAUAAUCGAAAGUUGCUCGAUU